UUCCAGAGGGGAACCCGGGAAACCAGCCAGGAAGCUGCCGGCUUCUAACUCAGCGCUGCAGGCAGGGCAGGCUGCCGGGGGACGUCAGCUCCAGGCCACUCGGCAUUUCACGAUGCCCAGGGUUCCUGGUGAAGGCACAUCUGUUGGCCUCAGGGCCCCGUGUCUGCCAGGAGCCGCGGGGCUGGUGCCUUUGUCAUGAACCUCCGGCCUCUCGAUGCAGCUCUGGGCACCCCUGGCUGCCCUUUCUUCCCGAGCUGCUUCUCUAGGCCAGGCCAGGCCACAGGAGCUCCCAGGGGUUUGCUGCACACAGGAGCUGGGGCUCCCACUGGUCACUCCAUCCCUAAUCCAUCCUCAAUCCGGUCUACCCUGAAAGAAAAUCUGAAGGAAUCCUACAGUGUUUGACUUUACUGAACGGGCACAAAACCAAAACACAGCGACAGGAACGUGACGUGGGUCCUUGGACUCUGGAUUUGCACAGAGCUGGAUUUGAAUACCAGUCCUGCUACCCAUUAUUUUCAAGUUUCAGGUUCUUCCUAGUAAAACAGUGAAAGGAUGACACCUAGAAUUCAGGUGCACCUCACCUUCGAAGUUCAACGUCCCCGAGUGUGCAUGUGGGGAGAGGAGGAGGAUGGCAUCUCAAAUUGGGGUCAGGUGUCCUUCCACAGCUCUCGGGCUGGGGACUUCCUGCUUGAUGCAUUUCCAUAAGACAUUACCGUAAGUUAGUGUGGAAUUCUCAUUGUUGCACACAGAGGAUGUAAAAGAUUUUGCAAUGUUCAACAGCUCCCAGCAGUCUUAACCAAAGGUGGGAAGGAAAUUGAAAGGAAGAAAGCAGCUGGAAUUGUAAAGGCAGACACAUGAAGUUAAAAGAAAGUCAUUUUUUAAAAGAGAAAAAUACAUAAAUUGCUAAUGUCACAUUAUAAUUUUCACAUCAAAAUCUUAUGAAUAAUAAUUAAUUAAUAGAAAUGUUCCAUUUCAAGAAAAGUUGGAGAGUAGCAGUAAAUGCUAAAACUGAUUUUAAUUCCUUCAUUCUAUAUAAAGGAAACUGACCUAAAAUCUUUUAUAUGUUGGUUAUUCUCAUCAUCUUAAAAAUAUGUAACAUGCAAUAUUAUUUUAAAAACUUCAUUAUUUGGAUGAAAAUACAUUGUGAAAAUUAAGAAUUUGAAGAUAAGC